rnacentral:rRNA from 1 species
UAAGACGGAGGAGGCAAGCGUUGUCCGGAAUCAUUGGGCGUAAGGAGCGCGUAGGCUGUUUUUCAAGUCAUAUGUGAAAACAUCAGGCUUAACCUGGUGAUUGCAUAUGAAACUGGAUAACUUGAGUACAGUAGAGGAAAGUGGAAUUCCUGGUGUAGCGGUGAAAUGCGCAGAUAUCAGGAGGAACACCAGUGGCGAAGGCGGCUUUCUGGGCUGUUACUGACGCUGAGGCGCGAAAGCUAGGGGAGCGAACAGGAUUAGAUACCCUGGUAGUCCUAGCCGUAAACGAUGGACACUAGGUGUGGGAAGUUAUCGACGCUUUCUGUGCCGGAGUUAACGCAUUAAGUGUCCCGCCUGGGGAGUACGGCCGCAAGGCUA